GACAUGGCGCUGCCGGGGGGGCCCGACCGCCUCAGCGUCAUCACCUACCUGUGGCAGCUGCGGGGGGUCCUGGACGGGGGGGCGGGCGCCCCCCCUGGUGCCCCCCUGGUGCCCCCCGGCGCCCCCCAGCCCCCGGCAGCCCCCCCAGAGGUGUCGGCGACCGGCGUCGCUGCGAAGGAUGCUGGGAGUUCGGCCAACCCUGGGGCUGCAAAGGACGCUGGGAGUUUCACUGAUGGCAUCGUUGCAAAGGAUGCUGGGAAUUCAGCCAAGUCUGGGGCUGCAAAGCAUGCUGGGAAUUUGACUGAUGGCAUCGCUGCAAAGGAUGAUGGGAGUUUGGCCAAGUCUGGAGCUGCAAAGGAUGCUGGGAGUUCAGUCAACUCAGGGGCUGCAAAGGACACUGGGAGUUUGACUGAUAGCAUCGCUGCAAAGGAUGCUGGGAAUUCAGCCAAGUCCAGGGCUGCAAAGCAUGCUGGGAGUUUGACUGAUGGCAUCACUGCAAAGGAUGCUGGGAGCUCGGCCAAUGGUAUAGCCGCAAAGGCUGCUGGGAAUGCGGCCACCCCAGAGACUGCAAAGGACACUGGGACGUUGGCUGUCCUGGAGGCCCCAGAGGAUGCUGGGAGCUCGGUCACCUUAGGGGCUGCAAAGGACUCUGGGAGCAAGACCAACAAUGUGGCUGCAAAGGACACUGGGAGCUCGGCCAAAUCAGGGGGUGCAAAGGAUGCUGGGAUAUUGGCUGUCCCAGAGGCUGCAAAGGAUGCUGGGAGUCCAACUAAUAACAUCACUGCAAAGGACGCUGGGAGCUCGACCAACUCAGGGGCUGCAAAGGAUGAUGGGAAUCUGGCUGAUAGCUUCGCUGCAAAGGACUCUGGGAGUUCGGUCAACCUAGAGGCUGCAAAGCAUGCUGGGAGUUUGGCUGUCCAAGAGGAUGCAAAGGAUGCUGGGAGCUCGGCCAAUGGCAUCGCUGCAAAGGAUGCUGGGAGCUCGGCCAACACAGAGGCUGCAAAGGAUGCUGGGAGCUCGGCCAAUGGCAUCGCUGCAAAGGCCGCUGGGAGCUCGGCCAACUUGGAGGCUGCAAAGAAUGCUGGGAGCCUGGCCAAUGGCAUCUCUGCAAAGGAUGCUGGGAACUCGGCCAACGCGGAGGCUGCAAAGGAUGCUGGGAGCUCGGCCAAUGGCAUCG
rnacentral:lncRNA from 1 species